CGGCGAGUGAAGCGGGAACAGCUCAAAUUUGAAAUCUGGCCCUUGGGUCCGAGUUGUAAUUUGUAGAGGAUGCUUUUGGUGCGGUGCCUUCCGAGUUCCCUGGAACGGGACGCCUUAGAGGGUGAGAGCCCCGUACGGUUGGACGCCUAGCCUCUGUAAAGCUCCUUCGACGAGUCGAGUAGUUUGGGAAUGCUGCUCUAAAUGGGAGGUAUAUUUCUUCUAAAGCUAAAUACUGGCCAGAGACCGAUAGCGCACAAGUAGAGUGAUCGAAAGAUGAAAAGCACUUUGAAAAGAGGGUUAAAUAGCACGUGAAAUUGUUGAAAGGGAAGCGUUUAUGACCAGACUUUUUCUAGGGGGAUCAUCCGGUGUUCUCACCGGUGCACUUCCCCUAGUUGAGGCCAGCAUCGGUUUCCGGAGGGGGAUAAAAGCUUCGGGAAUGUGACUCCCUCGGGAGUGUUAUAGCCCGUUGCAUAAUACCCUUCUGGGGACCGAGGUUCGCGCAUCUGCAAGGAUGCUGGCAUAAUGGUCAUCAACGACCCGUCUUGAAACACGGACCAAGGAGUCGAACAUUUAUGCGAGUGUUUGGGUGUUAAACCCUCACGCGUAAUGAAAGUGAACGGAGGUGAGAGCCCUUACGGGUGCAUCAUCGACCGAUCCUGAUGUCUUCGGAUGGAUUUGAGUAAGAGCAUAACUGUUCGGACCCGAAAGAUGGUGAACUAUGCGUGGAUAGGGUGAAGCCAGGAGAAAUCCUGGUGGAGGCUCGCAGCGGUUCUGACGUGCAAAUCGAUCGUCAAAUCUGCGCAUGGGGGCGAAAG
rnacentral:rRNA from 1 species